ensembl:lncRNA
CGGGUCGGGCCUGGCGCCCAGGUCACGGCCGGAGGGAGGACGCGCGCGCGCAGCCUGCAGACGGCGCGCGGACAGGGGACUCGGGGAGGCUCGAGGUGACCCCAGGGUCGCCUCACGCCGGCGGCUGGAGGUCGGGGAGUGGGAAGGCGCAGAGCAGGCCCUGGUAACCACUGGGAAUCCGAGCUGAGGGUCCGGGACAGACGCGACACCGCACCACCCGGGGCUGAGCUGAGCCUGGGUGAGAAAGGCCAUAAAUGAUUAUUCUUUCCAGACAUUUGGCAGGGAGAGGGAGAGAAAAGUAGGCCUGAGUCCAAAGGGUUGGAAGAGGAAAAAAGGGUAUUUGGGGUUUGGUUUUGUUUUUAAUUUGUUCCAGUUUGAGGGAGAGACCCGUAGAAUAGUAAAUGGUGCAAAGUCUCAGGAAAGGAGAUGGGAAGGGAGAGAGAGAAGUGAGAGAAGAGGGAACCUCUUCCUGCCAGAGUUAAAGGAUGCUUAGAGAUGAAAAGAUUUUGAAGUGAGGAAGCAGGCAUGUUCCUCUGACCAGCUGCCUGGAUCAUAAACCAGAAUCUUUUUCUGCCCCCAGGCGUGGGCAUGGCUGUGAUCCCAACACUCUGGGAGGCUGAGACAGGAAGAUCACAAGUUUUGAGUUUCAUCAGGGCAACUUGGUAUGGCUCACAGUUGGGAUCCUCUUGUCUCAGUUUUCUGAGCAGCUGGGCUAAAAACUGUACACCACUGAAUGAGGCUUUAGAAACAUUUUUUGCUAUUCAAGACUGUGCUGGGCACAGAAGCAGCCAAGAACUGAAGAAGGGGAAGUUCAUGUGUAAACAAGGCAAAGCGGCUGGAGGGAAGACUGGGAUGACCUGGACCUGACAUCAGCCUGAGAUGUAGGAUCCCAACACUGCCUUUCAGAACCCGUAUGUAGAAGAUCUCUCGUGUUUUCUCGAGAUUUGGACAUACAAAAGGACAGACACCAAGAAGAGCUUGCUAUCAUGGCUUUCCUCACAAUAGUCUGCCCUGUGCCCUCCAGGGUAUACUUUUAUUUUGCUUUUUCCUCCUUUACUUGGCCCAAGCUGGCUCUGCAGAGCCAGUUUCUCCCUCACUCUUCACUUUCACUUUUUCAAAUAAACUUUGUUACUAUUUUUUUGCUGGUUUCAUUCAAUUCUUUGUUCUAGAUGAGAAGAACCUGGAAUCCAACUCCAGGAGAUGCGAGCACCACAAAACCCAGUAACGUUUAUUUGGGGAGCCACUUUUAGGAGCUACCUGGUAACACUCUUGCCUCAGGCUCAAGAGUUAACUGAAAUUCUGGGCAUGAGCCAACACAAGUGGCCCAAAUUGUUUUUUAAACCAAUUUGCAGUUCCAGCAUUGCAUAUGAGGUUCUAUUCAUUCAUAUCUACUCCAGCACUUGGUACGAAUUCUGACUUCUUAAUUCUGGCUACUCAGGAAUCAAAUUUCACUGUGGUUUGGAUUUGUGCUUCUCUGACUAUGGAUGAUGUCAAACAUAGCUUCAUAUAUAAAAAAGCUUCAUCUUCAGGGAAAUAUCUAUUCAUAACCUUUGCCCAUUGUUCAAUUGGUUGACUGUCCUUUCUUCAGUGAUUUUGCUAAUUCUUUGACAUUAUGAGGGUUCCCUUUGGAACUCAGGUGGUCAGAAUUGAAUUAAUCUUCAUGUGAUAUGAUCCCCCCCUUGAUUAGAAAAGCAAUGCCCACGUGUUGUAAAAAAAAACAUGUCAAGGGGCUGGGGUGUAGCACUUGGCUAGCAAGUGCUAACGUUCUGGGUUCCAUUGCCAAAACUACAAACAAAACCGACCAAACAAAAAAUGUGUGAAGAGCACAGACAUGCUUAACUUCUACUCAUUUUUGUAGUGCUGAGGCCUGAACUCAGGCCUCAAAGGCAUAGCUGGGUGAGGACUCCACUGCUGAGCCUAUACCCGAAGCCCUAAGAUGUGUACCUUGGAAAGAAAAGCCUCCUUUGCCAUCCCUCCACCCCACCUCAAGCAAGAAUUAACUCCAGUUUGUCGUUCCAUACUUUGGGUCUCUGUUUCCACACUUCCCUCAGAUUCAAUCCAUAUCUUCUCAAGGGUAAGGUCUGGUUGUAUCACCUUUACAUUCCCAACCCUGGUACAGUAACCAGCUCAAUCAGAAAUGGGUUUUUUUUUUUGUUUUUUGGGGGUUUUUUUUGGUACUGGGGAUCGAACUCGGGUCCUUGCACUUUCAAAGCAGGCAGCGAAAUCACUGAGCUAAAUCCCUGGUCCUCAAUCAGAGAUGUAACACAUUAUUAUUGAAUGUACUACUGACAGGUAUUAAAACAGAGCUCCUAAUGUUACAAGGAGAUUGCCGUGUGACCAGGGCAGAGAAUUUGAGUGAGAGAAAAAUGAGAGAUAUACAUGUUGUAAGGUGUGUGUGGACUGAUUACUAAAUCUUGGCUGUUGGAGCCAGGGUAUAGUGGCACACACCUGUGAUCCCAGCACUCAGGAAGCUGAGGCAGGAGGUUCACUGCAAGUUCCAGACCAGCCUGGACUACAUAGUGAGUUGAAGGCCAGCCUAAACUACAUAGUGAGACCCUGUCUUUAAAAAACAAAACUAAAAAAAAGUCUUGACUGGGUUGGACAAAAAGUGUUUUUUCAUUUGUUUUGCUGUGCCAAGGAUCAAACCCAGGGCCUCAGGCAUGCUAGGCAAGUGUUCUGCCACUGAGCUGCUCCCCAGCCCCAAGUGUUUUAUCCUGAAGCUAACAAGGAAGCAUUUAAGAGUUUUUAGAGGGCGGAAAUUCUUUGUUCUUAUAUUUUUACCAGGGACAACUGAAACAAGGCAUUAACAAUCUCUUCAUCUAAUAGCUGUGUACAGUAUGUAAGGGGAGGAGAAGGGAACAAUGGAACUAGAGACAGAAGAAUGAGUGAGUCAACAGGCACGAACUAACCUAAGCCCAAGCACUUUUCAGGAAGCCCAGCUCAGCAGGCUAUCGUAGGACUGAGAACACAUAUUCCCACAUAUGUCUUUUGUUUUGUUUUGUUUUGUUUUGAUUCUGCACACCAGGGACUAAACCCACAGGCUCUCUGGCAUUGAGUUACACCCCAGCCCUUUUUGUUUUUAAUUUUUUUUUUUUAUCUUGAGAUAGGGUCUUGCUACAUUGCCCAGGCUAGGCUUGAACUUGUAGUCCUCUUGCCUCAGCCUCCUAGAGUGCUGGCACUACAGGCAUGUGCUACCAUGCUCAGCUCCAGUAUGGCACGCUUCCUGAGCUCCCAUGUGCCAGGUGCUGUACUAAGUGCUGGGAACAGAUGCCAUCUGGCCCUGGGCAGAAGGUGCCAUGCCCAUUGCCAGGUGACCUCAACUGACUACUGGCACUGUCUGUACCCCACAGGUGUCCUCAGCCAUCCCGUGAUGCCCAUGGAAUCCGGGGUGUGCAGUGGAGCCCUGGUGGGGCUUUUAAGCCUGAGCCAGUGAGAAGUGAGGCAGGGUAGGGAGGAGCAACAGCCUAGCCUUGGUCUCCAGAACCCUGGCUGACGUGAGGAGGACAGUGGUACCAGGCUAGAAGGACCUGCAGCACUGAUAUUCUGCCCUAUCCCCAAAGGUGCCCAGGUGGCAGGAGGGAGGGAGCAGGCAAAGGUAGGAUUGAGCUCAGGCAGGAGGACACUGACCCUGUGAGCUGAGCCCGAAGGGUGGAGCUCUGCAGGUGCAGCUCCUGACCCUGAAGCAACCACAAGCCAUGGAGAAAAAAUGUCACCAGUGUCACCACAGGGGAGGGGCAAGGAGAGAGGGACAGUUGUGACACACCAUGGCAGGGGCAAGGACAGUGUGUGCCAGUGAACUGAGAGGGACACAGAUCUGCAUGGUUGGGGAUAUUCUGAUGGCCACAGGAACCACAGGAGGGGGAGCAGCCACGAAGAACAGGGGCAGAGAGGUGACUGUGGGAUUUGCCACAUGGCUGGCAGUGAAGGCUAAAGUAUGGCUUGAGGGGUGCUAGUGUCAGAGCAGGUGACACAUGCCACAGACCAAAGGAGAGCAAGGAAGGUAGAGCAGGAAACCACAUAGGCGCCAUCCAAGAACCUUGACUCUGAAAUGAAACAGAAAGUAAGACAUUAACCAGAGAGAAUUCCAGAGCCCAGGGAGGUAGAUUUUUCUUGCUAAAGGUCAGGAAAGUUUUUUUGUUUUUUUUUGUUGUUUUGUUUUUCAGACAAAGCAGCACUGUAGAUAAGUACUAGAGGAAAGAAAGAUGCGGCCUGAAAAUGUAGUUUGACCCGAGACACUGAUACAAUCCAGCAGUGGACAGCAAGCACCCUGGUUCAAGGCUGCCUUGCCAUGUGCUGAGAGUUGAGGAAGCUGGGAUCACACUGCUAAUAAAUGGCUAGGCAGGAGCCAAAGCCAGGUCAUGUGACUCCAAAGCAUGGAUACUCACUACCCCUGUACCUGAGACAGGUGGAAACAUGCAC